rnacentral:rRNA from 1 species
AGCUCCAAUAGCGUAUAUUAAAGUUGUUGCAGUUAAAAAGCUCGUAGUUGGAUCUGGGGUUCGGGUCGGUGGUUUGCCGCUCUGCGGCUACUGCCGUGCUCGACUCUUACUAGCCGGUGCGUCUCUUGGUGCUCUUCACUGAGUGCCACGAGAGCCUGGCAUGUUUACUUUGAAAAAAUUAGAGUGCUCAAAGCAGGCGCUUGCGCCUGAAUAGUGUUGCAUGGAAUAAUGGAAUAGGACCUCGGUUCUAUUUUGUUGGUUUUCGGAACUUGAGGUAAUGAUUAAGAGGGACGGUCGGGGGCAUUCGUAUUUCGGUGUUAGAGGUGAAAUUCUUGGAUCGCUGAAAGACGGACAAAUGCGAAAGCAUCUGCCAAGAACGUCUCCA